rnacentral:sRNA from 1 species
AAGUCGUAACAAGGUCUCCGUUGGUGAACCAGCGGAGGGAUCAUUACCGAGUAUCUACUCAUAACCCUUUGUGAACCAAAUUGUUGCUUCGGCGGCUCGUCCGCGAGCCCGCCGGUACAUCAGUCUCUUUAUUUUUACCAACGAUACUUCUGAGUGUUCUUAGCGAACUAUUAAAACUUUUAACAACGGAUCUCCUGGCUCUAGCAUCGAUGAAGAACGCAGCGAAACGCGAUAUGUAGUGUGAAUUGCAGAAUUCAGUGAAUCAUCGAAUCUUUGAACGCACAUGGCGCCUUCCAGUAUCCUGGGAGGCAUGCCUGUCCGAGCGUCGUUUCAACCCUCGAGCCCCAGUGGCCCGGUGUUGGGGAUCUACGUCUGUAGGCCCUUAAAAUCAGUGGCGGACCCGCGUGGCCCUUCCUUGCGUAGUAAUUUUCGCUCGCAUCGGAGUCCCGCAGGCACCAGCCUCUAAACCCCCUACAAGCCCGCCUCGUGCGGCAACGGUUGACCUCGGAUCAGGUAGGAAUACCCGCUGAACUUAAGCAUAUCAAUAAGCGGAGGAAAAGAAACCAACAGGGAUUGCCUUAGUAACGGCGAGUGAAGCGGCAACAGCUCAAAUUUGAAAUCUGGCUCCUUCGGGGCCCGAGUUGUAAUUUGCAGAGGAUGCUUCGGGUUUGGGUUCCUUCCGAGUUCCCUGGAACGGGACGCCAUAGAGGGUGAGAGCCCCGUCUGGUAGGAAACCCAGCCCAUGUGAAGCUCCCUCGAC